rnacentral:lncRNA from 1 species
CUAAAUUCUUGUAUGAUAAUGAACUAGGUGAAAACCUAGAGCUGACCGAGUGCGAGAUCCUCAUGGAUAAUCAUCGAGGUCGUUAAACACCCCUUGCAGUAAACUUUGGUUAAAUUUAAAAAAACAUCGAAAUGUAAUAGUCUGAACACAUUUCACCGCUCAUUCCACUGAAUAUUAAAUUGCAGUUACAAGUAUCACAAAACUUCCCUGACCUAUUUUCUUUAACCAUAAUAGAGGGAGGAGGGGAGGAGGGAUCCAGAUCCUGAAAUCCCGGGCUUAAAAACACGAAAUCCGGCGAGGUCCCAAAUUAAAAAAAAGUCAAAUCCCGACUACCCGAAAUUCGGAAAAAGAAUUCCCGGAUCCCGGAGUUCCGAUAAAGGUCCUACCCCCUCCCCCCCCCUCGUAAUUCUAUAUUCUAUUCAUUCUUAAUCUUGAAUUGAGACUUGAUACUUCAAAAUUACAUUCUCUAAUUUUGAAUGAUGCACACAGGC